rnacentral:rRNA from 1 species
GUUGUUCGGAAUUACUGGGCGUAAAGGGUUCGUAGGUGGCCAACUAAGUCAGAUGUGAAAUCCCUCAGCUUAACUGGGGAACUGCGUCUGAUACUGGUUGGCUUGAGUGCAGGAGAGGAACGCGGAAUUCCAGGUGUAGCGGUGAAAUGCGUAGAUAUCUGGAGGAACACCGGUGGCGAAGGCGGCGUUCUGGACUGCAACUGACACUGAGGAACGAAAGCCAGGGGAGCAAACGGG